rnacentral:rRNA from 1 species
UACACUCCUGCGGGAGGCAGCAGUGGGGAAUAUUGGACAAUGGGCGCAAGCCUGAUCCAGCCAUGCCGCGUGAGUGAUGAAGGCCCUAGGGUUGUAAAGCUCUUUCACCGGUGAAGAUAAUGACGGUAACCGGAGAAGAAGCCCCGGCUAACUUCGUGCCAGCAGCCGCGGUAAUACGAAGGGGGCUAGCGUUGUUCGGAUUUACUGGGCGUAAAGCGCACGUAGGCGGACUAUUAAGUCAGGGGUGAAAUCCCGGGGCUCAACCCCGGAACUGCCUUUGAUACUGGUAGUCUUGAGUUCGAGAGAGGUGAGUGGAAUUCCGAGUGUAGAGGUGAAAUUCGUAGAUAUUCGGAGGAACACCAGUGGCGAAGGCGGCUCACUGGCUCGAUACUGACGCUGAGGUGCGAAAGCGUGGGGAGCAAACAGGAUUAGAAACCCCGGUAGUCCCAU